UGACCUCGGAUCAGGUAGGGAUACCCGCUGAACUUAACAUA
rnacentral:rRNA from 1 species